rnacentral:rRNA from 1 species
UUCCAGACUCCUACGGGAGGCAGCAGUGAGGAAUAUUGGUCAAUGGGCGGGAGCCUGAACCAGCCAAGUCGCGUGAGGGAAGACGGUCCUAUGGAUUGUAAACCUCUUUAGGCGGGGAGCAAUGCCGGGCACGCGUGCCCGGAGGGAGAGUACCCGCAGAAUAAGCAUCGGCUAACUCCGUGCCAGCAGCCGCGGUAAUACGUAGGUGGCAAGCGUUAUCCGGAUUUAUUGGGUGUAAAGGGCGCGUAGGCGGGAAUGCAAGUCAGAUGUGGAAACUAUGGGCUCGACCCAUAGCCUGCAUUUGAAACUGUAUUUCUUGAGUGCUGGAGAGGCAAUCGGAAUUCCGUGUGUAGCGGUGAAAUGCGUAGAUAUACGGAGGAACACCAGUGGCGAAGGCGGAUUGCUGGACAGUAACUGACGCUGAGGCGCGAAAGCGUGGGGAGCAAACAGGAUUAGAUACCCCAGUAGC